CGUGGCUCCUCGGCUCUUCCAGACGCUCUGGACCGAGGAGCUGAGCUGACGUCGUCCUCGGUGUCUUCCCGGCUGAAGUGACACAGUCCUGUGUGCACACACGUGUGUGUGUGUGUGUGUGUGUGUUUGUGUUUGUGUGUGUGUGUGCGUGCGUGUCUGUGUGUGCUCCAGACAGCUGUGCAACCUGUUCUCUCUGGAGGAUGACCAAGUCAAAGACACCUGCUGUUCAAGCAACUGGCAUUUUUUCUAACUGCCCCCAUUUCUGUUAUUCUCUGCCUGCACCAGUGUAUCAUUAAAAAGAUCUGGCAGCCACAUCUGGUGAAGAACUCAACAGCUUCCAGACGAGGGGGAGGAUCUGCCGCAAGACGGAGGCCACAGCCCAGCUCACAACAUAACUGUGGUUACUCUGACUUCUCCCUGCAUCAACAAUAUUCCUUCACCAUGGACUGAGACUUGAAAGACGUGAGGAAAGUUAUAUCUUUGUGAAACUGUGGUUCUUGAUUUUGCAUGGUUUUGUACACCACAUCAUAUCCUGCAAAAGUGCAUGUCAAAUCGUUUUUUGUGCAAUGAUAAGUCAGAGCUGUGAGUUGCUUUUGCACUGUUAUGGAUACUUUUGUUUCCUCCUAACAGCAGGAGAGCAUGUGUGAGAAAUUGCAAUUGUCAUGACUCAACUGCUCCAUUUGCAGGGAACAAAUAAAACUAUUGUUGUCAUCUUUGAGCCAAAAAAACAUUUCUCCCAUAUGUUUCAAGAGAGUGUUUAACAAGCCAGCUGCCCACUGAUAGGCAUUCCAGUUAAACUGUCUGGGCCCCUUUACCCCACCAGGUACACAAACAUGAACACGACAGGGUCAAGA